CAGUGUGCACUCUUCUUUCCUACCCACAGCGUACUACUGGUCUGACUGUGGCCCUUAUAGCAACAAUGGCACUGGCACAUUCAGAGGACCUGCGGCCGGCUUCAUUAUCCUCCUAAUCACCUGCGGCUUUGAAAUGCUCAUCGGCGCCCCGUCAAACCUCUCAUCUGUCACAUUCUCAGGCAAAGGUCAAAGGUUGCCGGCAUCCUUCCCGCAGACUUCUUCCCCCUCCACCCGGCCCUCACCCAGAUGAUCUUCUACCUGUACGUGCCUCCAUUUUUUGCCAAUUACUUUCUGUGGCAGAGCUACAGGGUGCAGAGCAUGUUGUCCAUCCUGAACUCGAUGACGAUCGUUAUGAAGCCGCUGCUUCUCUGUCUGAUGUGUGUGGAGAGGUACCUGGCUGUGGUGCGACCCCUCAACUAUCAACGGUUCAAGGCGCCUCAGUAUCGAUGGGGAUCUGUAGGUGUCUCAUGGUGCAUUUACAUCGCCGUGACUUCCUGGACUAUUACUGGGGGCUCUCACUGGCCAUGGUGUGCCUCGCCGUUCUAGUUAUAAACACCUUCUGCAGCCUGUCUAUUCUCAAAACAUUAAAAAAGCCUCCGCCGGGGGACACAGGGGUAAUGAAAAAGAAGAAGAAGGAAGGGGAGGUGGAGAGAAACACUGGCAAACAGGGGAGUCGAGGAGUAAAGGUGGAGGAUGGGGGGGAA